GUACACUCCUACGGGAGGCAGCAGUGGGGAAUUUUGAACAAUGGGCGAAAGCCUGAUCCAGCAAUGCCGCGUGAGUGAAGAAGGCCUUCGGGUUGUAAAGCUCUUUUGUCAGGGAAGAAACGGUGAGAGCUAAUAUCUCUUGCUAAUGACGGUACCUGAAGAAUAAGCCCCGGCUAACUACGUGCCAGCAGCCGCGGUAAUACGUAGGGUGCAAGCGUUAAUCGGAAUUACUGGGCGUAAAGCGUGCGCAGGCGGUUUUGUAAGUCUGAUGUGAAAUCCCCGGGCUCAACCUGGGAAUUGCAUGGGAGACUGCAAGGCUAGAAUCUGGCAGAGGGGGGUAGAAUUCCACGUGUAGCAGUGAAAUGCGUAGAUAUGUGGAGGAACACCGAUGGCGAAGGCAGCCCCCUGGGUCAAGAUUGACGCUCAUGCACGAAAGCGUGGGGAGCAAACAGGAUUAGAUACCCUGGUAGUCCCAUG
rnacentral:rRNA from 1 species